AAGAAAUGAAAAUGAACAUAAAGAAAAAUGUGGAAGCUGCCAAUGACGUUAAACCUAUAGCAAACUCUACAUUUUCUUCAUUUUCACAUAAGAAGAAAGAAAGUCAAAGACAUCUCAAAUCUUCCUUCCAAGCAAGUUUUAGUUCUGCCCUCCUUAGAUAUAUAAUCAAUCUAAGUUCAGAAAUCAGAAGCAAAGUUUGUUUCUUUACACAAGAUGAGUGAUCCCAAAUAUGGUUAUCCUUAUCCUGCUCAAGGUUAUUAUCAAGGGCCUCCAGUGAUGGCUCCUCCUCAAUAUGCUGCUCAACCACCCAGGAGACAGGCAGGCUUUCUUGAGGGAUGUCUGGCUGCUUUGUGUUGCUGCUGCCUGAUUGAUGAGUGUUGCUGCGAUCCCUCCAUCAUCUUUAUAAGCUGAUGAUUUUAAUGUAAUUCCACUUCUGUUUAUGUUUAUGUUAUGUCAUGCCAAUAUUAUAUGGUUUAAUGAUUGAAAUAAGUUGUGUUUAUUUUAACUUGUUAGUAGUGUAAAUAUUUAAGAGUAUUUCUUAGAUAUGCUUGUAAUGUUUGAAUCUUUGAUUUAUUUGUCAAGGAUGGAGUUUGUUGUUUUUA